CAAGAGGGCACGGGCUUUAGGCGCUGGCUCAGUGGCCCUGCAGUUUUCUGGCCAAGAGCUCCAUGGCAGCGGGCCCUGGGCCUGGGCCUUUGACCUGGGGCCUCUGUUAGGAGUGGUCCUGAUCCUGCUUCUGGCAGAGGCACACACAGGGCUCCUCCAAGUACAGGCAGCCAGGCUCAGGAUGGGAGGGAGCAGCCAGUCCCAACAAUUACACAGUUCGGGAGCUGAAAAGUUAUGUUUGCCACUCUCAGGAGCCAGCUGUGGAAGGGAGGCCAGUGGAGGGCUUUGCCCUGGCCUCUGAGCCACACACAAGCCGUGCUGGGAGGACAAGGGCCGGGGGUGGUGAAGGACCCUCUUGGAGCCUUUGCUUUCCAGGAGCAGGCACUCGUCUUCCAUAUCACACUCACAAAGGCUGGUGGCUUCAGUGGCUGUGACCAGCUGGCCACAGCUGACUCCUCUGGGGUAGUGCUGUUUCUAAAUAUUAGUUCCUGCUGUUAACCCUUGCUGUGCGGCCCCAGUGGACAGCCGGCUGCCUGCAGACAGAGCCUCUUGGAAGUAGAGUGGACAGUCCCCACCUGGAUGAAAAAUUUAUGGAGUCUCACUGUUUCCAGG
rnacentral:lncRNA from 10 species